GAAAACUUUUUUAACCCUAUUCCUCCGUCAGCCGUUGUGAUAGAAAUCAAUGGGAAGCAAACAUUAUGUGAGCAAGCAUGUUUGUUACCCAUACAAGAGCCACGAAGUAUUUGUGAUUGUGAGGACCAAAACUUGUCUGUUAGCACUGGUCGAUUAAUACAGCUCAUCAACAUAAAUGGUCGCUAUGAUCUCUCUUUGCCUAUGUGGUGCUGCAACACUUGCCACAAAUCAUGGACACCUGGGCUGCUGGACCUUGCCCGAAG